ACAGUGGAGAGGAGAGAAAAACCAGGCCUGGGCGAGACCUAUGGAGAAAUAAACCUCGUUUCUCUGCAAUAGGGAGCAACAGCAUUUCCUGCCCUCGUUCUGAACAGACGCACUCGACUUCAUUCCCUCCUGAGAUCCUCAAAGGAGAUUAAAAAACCACCUUACGGUCCGAUUCAUUCAUAUUUGGGCCUCGGUCCUCGACCGACCCACUCCUGAAACCUCUGGCAUUGUGAAGGAAGGCGCCCCCAGAUCGACUGUAGGAGGAGAAGCGAAGGCCAGUCCAGGGGCCCAGUUACUAAGAUCAAGCAGCUCGGGCAAGAAGAAAAUCCCCAUGAGGCCUGACAGUGAAGUCUGAGUCAGCAGCAAGGGCACGGACCCGGGUUCGGCCGAGCAGUGCUCCAGGGCAGGCCUGCGGAGGUGACACUUCCCUGCUUGCUCCCCGGGCAGGUCCGGGAGGCGGCGUCCGGCCGCGCCGGCCCGCAUCCAGGAAGCCGGGCCGGAGGGCCGACGCGGGGACGCGGCCGGCGGGAGGCCUGGCCGGCAGCACCACCGCCCCCCCGCGCCGCUCCCGCCUCCUUCCCCACUCCCACUUCCCGGCCCUCCAGCCCGGGCCCGUGAGGUAAGGUCGGGGGCGGCGACGCGGGUCCCGGCCACUGACCACACAUUUCUUGCCGAGGAAGGUGAAGAGGGACUCGUUCUCCUGCGGGAGGUCUGGAGGGAGAAGACGUCUGGUCUCCGUGGCCGAGGUGCCCGUCUCUCUUCUGCGGACGCACACCUUUGCGGAGCUUCAGUGCAGACCCAGGUCAUCCUCCGCAGACGAGGUCGCGUCUCUGGGGCGCGACAGCCGGACGUUCACACCGCUUGUCAGAAAGGUCUGGAAUCUGCAGACGGAAAAUGGGAGAAGGGACGCACUGCCCAGUGCUCCUCGCUGGUUCCGUCAGAGCCGCAGAGCUCUCUGAAAGUGCACCUCAGGUGGGACUGGAACCCAGUUGCACCUCAGAUGGAACUUGAACCCACAAUCUUCCAACUGAAAACCACAACUCAUCUCAGGACUUAAUGAAGCUCAGGUUCUUUAUGCCUCAGCACAGAAGGAAUUCAGUGAGAGGCAAAGUGAUAGGUAAGAAGUAGAUUUAUUAGAAUAGGACGCUUGUGAAGGAUUCAAGUGGGCAGGCAAGAGGGCUCUGCCUCAAGAACUAAGUGGUCUACAUUUUUAUAAUCAAAGGAAAAGUGGGGAGGGGGAGAAGACCACCUUCCUCAAAAGAUGUUGCAAGAAAAUGGGGCACGAGAGGAUGGUCAUAUCCCAGGUGUCAGCUGAGUCCCUGGGACAGGCCACCAAAUGAGGGUCCUUGGCUUCGUGCACGAAAGAAUUCAAGAACAAGCCAGAAUAAAGUGAAAGCAGGUUUACUUAGAUACUCAUUCCAUAGGCAGAAUGGGGUCCGUCUCAGAAAUUGAGACAGCCCUGGGAGAUACACACUCCAUAGAUAAGAGUGUGGACCAUCCCAGAAGGUGAGAGAGCCCCCAGGCUGCAGGAGUGGUUA